CAUCCCUGGACCUGGGCCAGAGGCUUAGCUGCCUCUGCUGAGGCUGACGCAGCCUGCGUGAGGAACGUGGCCGACGAGCAGGACAGGACUGAGCCUGCGAGCAGGGUAGGAUGUCAGAGAACCAGAAACAGCCCACCUGGGAACAAAGUCAGCAUGGAGUAAACUGAUCUGGAAGAUACUAAGAGCUGGAGAGGCAGAGAUCUGAUAACAUCAGGUGCUGGAUCCAGCCAUUCCUGAAGCUAACUCUCUGGAUAUUACUGCUAUAUGAAUCUGGUUGGAGAGGAGCAUGAAAGGUUUACUGGAAGAGUUGACGUUUACCGUAGCCUUGCCGGAGGAUGACCCGGUCAGGAUGGACUGUGCUGGGCUGCAAUGACAACCCCCUUCUGGAUCCUAUUGGCUUGAGUUCCUAAGCAGAAGACUCGUCUGCCAUUGGACAGAGCCUGCUGCAGGUCUGGACCGCCCUGAGUGCUCCACCCCGCAAGUCGUCCUCAAAGGGGUGGAAGUGGCUUCUUCUGGCAAAGUGCCCUCUCCAGUCCACACGCCAGGGCUCCCAUUUUUUAUUGAGGAAGUAGUGGCCUACUCCACUUUUGAACUUGAGCCUCUAUAUCUUUUGCCAGGUAAUAAACAGAGCAGCUCAGUAAAUGUUGAGAAUCGAAAUAGGGGAGGUAAGGGGAAAUGGAUGUGUGUAAGUGCAGUAAAAGAAAGCUGGCCUAAUUUUGUUCAUUACCAUGCCCCCAGUGUAUAUAACAGAGGCUGAGCAGGUGCUCAAUCCAGUUACCCAAGAAAUGAGCCCAGC
rnacentral:lncRNA from 1 species